GAACAGAGGAAUGAAGGUAACCAUUCGUGAGCUUAGAAUUAUAAGGUUAUAUCUCCACUUUUGGUCGACAUUGAGUUUUUGACACAAUCUGAUCCAUUAGGUGUUUAUUACAGUAAUGCCUGUGUGAUGUUA